CCCUUCGGGAGCCUGGUGACAGGUGCUGCAUGGCUGUCGUCAGCUCGUGUCGUGAGGAUGUUGGUUAAGUCCCGCAACGAGCGCAACCCUGUCUUAAUUGCCAUUCAGUUGAGUUGGGCACUUUAAAGAGACUGCCGGUGUUAAAACCCGGAGGAAGGUGGGGAUGACGUCAAGUCCUCACGGCCUUUAUGUCCAGGGCUACACACGUGCUACAAUGGGUGGUACAAAGAGCAGCGACCUCGGCGAGUGGAAGCAAAUCUCAAAAAGCCAUCCUCAGUUCGGAUUGGAGUCUGCAACUCGACUCCAUGAAGUCGGAAUCGCUAGUAAUCGCGGAUCAGAACGCCGCGGUGAAUUACCGGUUCCCGGGCCUU
rnacentral:rRNA from 1 species